GAUGAACGCUGGCGGCGUGCCUAAUACAUGCAAGUCGAGCGAACAGACGAGGCGCUUGCUCCUCUGACGUUAGCGGCGGACGGGUGAGUAACACGUGGAUAACCUACCUAUAAGACUGGGAUAACUUCGGGAAACCGGCGCUAAUACCGGAUAAUAUAUUGCACCGCGUGGUUCAAUAGUGAAAGACGGUUUUGCUGUAACUUAUAGAUGGAUCCGCGCCGCAUUAGCUAGUUGGUAAGGUAACGGCUUACCAAGGCAACGAUGCGUAGCCGACCUGAGAGGGUGAUCGGCCACACUGGAACGGAGACACGGUCCAGACUCCUACGGGAGGCAGCAGUAGGGAAUCUUCCGCAAUGGGCGAAAGCCUGACGGAGCAACGCCGCGUGAGUGAUGAAGGUCUUCGGAUCGUAAAACUCUGUUAUUAGGGAAGAACAAAUGUGUAAGUAACUAUGCACGUCUUGACGGUACCUAAUCAGAAAGCCACGGCUAACUACGUG
rnacentral:rRNA from 1 species